rnacentral:tRNA from 2 species
GCCUCCGUAGCUCAAUGGACAGAGUACGUGGCUUCGGACCAUGGGAUGGGGGUUCGAUUCCCUCCGGAGGCACUA